UGUUAGACUUGAAUUAUUGGGAAGUAACUAGAAUAUGUAGUGUAGCGGUGAAAUGCUUAGAUAUUACAUGGAAUACCAAUUGCGAAGGCAGGUUACUAUCAAUAUAUUGACGCUGAUGGACGAAAGCGUGGGGAGCGAACAGGAUUAGAUACCCUGGUAGUCCACGCCGUAAACGAUGGAUACUAGCUGUUCGGAGUAAUCUGAGUGGCUAAGCGAAAGUGAUAAGUAUCCCACCUGGGGAGUACGUUCGCAAGAAUGAAACUCAAAGGAAUUGACGGGGGCCCGCACAAGCGGAGGAGCAUGUGGUUUAAUUCGAUGAUACGCGAGGAACCUUACCAGGGCUUAAAUGGGAGACGACAGAUCUGGAAACAGAUUUUUCUUCGGACGUCUUUCAAGGUGCUGCAUGGUUGUCGUCAGCUCGUGCCGUGAGGUGUCAGGUUAAGUCCUAUAACGAGCGCAACCCCUAUUGUUAGUUGUCAGCGGGUCAUGCCGGGAACUCUAACAAGACUGCCGGUGCAAACCGUGAGGAAGGUGGGGAUGACGUCAAAUCAUCACGGCCCUUACGUCCUGGGCUACACACGUGCUACAAUGGACGGUACAGAGAGCAGCCACUACGCAAGUAGGCGCGAAUCUUCAAAGCCGUUCUCAGUUCGGAUCGGAGUCUGCAACUCGACUCCGUGAAGCUGGAUUCGCUAGUAAUCGCAGAUCAGCCAUGCUGCGGUGAAUACGUUCCCGGGCCUUGUACACACCGCCCGUCAAGCCAUGGAAGCUGGGGGUACCUGAAGUCGGUGACCGCAAGGAGCUGCCUAGGGUAAAACUAGUAACUGGGGCUAAGUCGUAACAAGGUAGCC
rnacentral:rRNA from 1 species